rnacentral:lncRNA from 10 species
UGGAAUUUUUUUUUUUCACUUGCCCUCUCCAGCUCCCACUAGUGAUUGGAGACUGAGAGCCAAGUACUUAGCGGAGGGAUUACACUUCUCAACGCACUUGGAGCGGCCCCAGCGCCGCCGCCUGUGUGCGGAGUGCGGAGCCGACUUGGGGAGCGGCGGGGUGCGGGCCGGAGGCAGCCCGGGUACAGGGGUGCGCUUCCCAAGCCCCGUCCGCUGCUCAGAGCAUCCCCAAGAUUUCCCUCAUGGGUCCUGUCCUGGUUGUUUAAGAAGGUUUCCAGAAAACCUCCUGGUUUGAAGAACAAAGAUUCGUGGAAUUAUUGUACCUUGAGAGCUGGAAAGGGCUCGCAGAGAUGAUAUAAUGUCGUGGAUUUCAACUUUUCGGGGCCAUAGACACUUUUCAGAAAUUGAUAAAACGUUGACACACCUUGUAAAAAAUGAACACAUUAAAAUUAAGCCUGCAGUUUGAGGUAAUGGAGAAGCACUGGAGAUUUGUAAGCCACGGAGUCAAAUGGUGGACUGGGAUUUUCAGGAGAUCAUUUAGAGUUACUUCACUGCUUUUACCUGCGGACAUGAUGUCAUAC